GCAAAACAUAGAAGACAAGGCAAUGUUGUUCAAUAAGAUUUAAGAAACUAGAAAGCUAAACAACAAAUGGAAACGAAGUGGUUGCCUCAAAUGAUGUGCUAAAUAUAGAUGAUUCCUUUUUCUUUUUCUUUUUUUUUGCCGAGGAACGAUUGGAAACAGUCUAUCUAUCUCUACGAGUUAGAUAUAACAUCUGUGUAGACUCUACUCUCCCCAGACCCCACUUGUGGGAUUACACCGGGUAUGAUGUUUUUAAUGAAUGGGCGGACAGCCAAUAGCACACGGAUCAAAACAUGGUGGAUAAUGCAGCAGAAUUCAAGCCAUGUAUGUUAAGACACACAUCACUUACUGCGUUCUUACCACUAAACCAAAGCCCAUGGGGCACCAUCGUGAUUUGAUUCUUUUACAUCGAGUUAUUUCAAUCUGGUAAACUGUUUAUCCAUCAAACAAUCCGAAAUAGUUCUACUGGUAAAUCGGUAACAUAAAGGGGUAGUAAUAGUGGAAGGAAAAUAAAUCACAUUUAGCAAAAUUCAGGACAUACCACAAGAGGAAGGGUCAACAAGCUCCAUAUCGGCCACAGAGCAUAACAGAACUUGAAACAAAUGACUUGUUCUUUUACCAAAACAGUCUCAUUUGAUCUAGACGUUUGAAUUGAAACUAUAUCUGUAUGUUAUUAUUUGAAUGCAUGUGUAAUUCAUGUGAUCGUAAUGUCUCUUACAAGAGGAAAGAUAGGAUCCCAAGCAUAGUGAUGAAGGGAAGUGCAGCUGUACUGGAAAUCUCCCACAUCUCAUACAACUUCCGGACGCCCAAAGCCAAUAUACCUGUAUAUAUGAAAAAUAAAACAUUCAAACCAACACCAUACAUCCCAAUGUAUAAUGGUAUUCUGCAGCAGAGAUGUGAAGAAUCAAUGAAGGUACUUGAUAUCAAGAUAUCAAACAACAGAAAGCUCCGACAUCAUGCCAAAAAUGGUGAAAGAUGCAUUUGCUCAAGGCAUUAUAAGUGAAAAAGUCAAGCAGCUAGUGAUUCCUGGAUAUCAGAUGCAUGUUGCUAACAGGCUAACAAGUCCAAUUUUCCAAGUCAUAAGACCCUAACACGAACGAACUCUGUAGAAAUGGCAGUAAACAAACACGAAAGAGUGCAAGUAAAAACAGAUUUUACAAUUCAGAUAUUUCGUAUUUACAAAGAUAUUUGGAUAUAUUUGUAUCCGCUGUUCUACAAAAAGAUCUUUGAAUAGUUGCUCUUCACCAGACUUAAUAUUUAUAUUAAAACGACAUCUUUACCCAACAGGUUAUGAACUAAGUUCAUGAUGCUAAACAUUCAAUUUUUCAUUUCUCAACUUGUCGUGAUUUUAACAUAAGGCUUUCAAUGGAGACGUGGAAGUGAAAUGACACGGUCCAAAAUUAAGCGCUUGUUGAGCUUUAUAUAUAUGAAUGAAUCCAAAAGAUCACAAUUAAAAAUGCACCAUAUGUUAUUUUAUUUCUUUGAUCUGGAGUACAAUUAAAAGUGAUGAGGGCAGGACAACCAGGUGCACAUAGCAUCCCGCAGGGUUCGGAGAAGGGCAGUGUCACGAUCCGAUUUUUCUAGUCGUGAUGGCGCCUACUUUAACCCACCAGUAGGCAAGCCAAACCAUAGUCCAGAAUGAUAAGUAACGGGCUAACAGGCAGAGACCAAAUAAAGGAUCAUGUAUAAUAAUAAUAAGUAAAAAAUAAGAAAGGAGCUUAUAUAUUACAUCAAAAUGAGAUGAGGAAAAAAAAAAAAGACCAACUUACAAUGAAUCCCUCCCAAGACCUGAUAAGGUCAGUACUAGAGCCACUACUAACAGAUACCCAAAGUACUAGACAAAAAUAAAAUAAAACGUACACAAUAUACACAAGCAGUCUUGAGUGCAAAAGACAAACUGGAAUAAAUAGAGGAAGAUUAGCCUCGGACGACAGCAAACUCACUCUUCUCUGAGUCAGUAAUGGAAGAUAGGAAUCACAUCAACGUCGACUGCUGGUGCCCGGAUCUGCAUCAGAAAAAGAUGUAGAAGUGUAGAUGAGUACCAAAAACCACGGGUACUCAGUAGGCAUCAUCGGCCAACUGAGCUCAAUACAGAAAAGGUAUAACUACAAUGCGAAGGCGUAAUCUGAGUCAUUAGUAAAAAGGGAUCAAAAGGUAAACAACUACCAAGCUACACAACGACUGUAAAGGAAUAAACUGAUGCGAUAUCGAAAAAUAAUAGUGCAGUAAUAAUAGACAAAUCAAACAUAACCUAACUGGGACCUCAUAAGCCCGCUAGACACAACAUAAACUAAAUGGGCCUCCAUAAGCCCGCUAGGCAUACUGAAGAAGGCAAUUAACCUAACUCCCAUAAGUCGGUGGGACAGACAAGUAAUGAAAAUAAACAUAAAUAGUCUAUAACUGCGCUGAUUCCCAUAAAUCAUAAUAGUUUUCCAGAUGUGCACCGGACUUGAACCGACACCAAUGGGUAAUAACGAGAGGCCAGAUAUAUAGAACCCAUAAUCAGAUGCCGGACUCAAACCAAAACUCAUAAUAACCAUAAUAAUCAUUUGCCGGACUCGAACCGGAACUCAUAGUAACCACAACCAUAAUCAGAUGCCGGACUCGAACCGGAACUCAUAGUAACCAUAAUAAUCAUUAGCCAGACUCGAACUGGAAUUCACAGUAACCAUAAUAAUCAUUUGCCAAACUCGAACCGGAACUAAUAAUAACCAUAAUAAUCAUUUACCGGACUCGAACCGGAACUCACAGUAACCAUACCCACCAGAAAUAUUAAAAUUCAUACCAUAUCAUAACAAUGUCAAUGUCUAAAUAAUCAUCCGUUAAUCUUAAUUAAAAAGGGAUAAAUUCAAGGUUUUGCAAUUUAAUUUUACAUCCCAAAGUGAUAGAUGUUUUAUUAUAUUAAAAGAUACUUUUUCCAAAAAUUUACUAAAACGGGGUCCUAAUACAGAUAAAUAAGACAGUUUAUAUAUAUAUAUAUCAAAAAUACGCAUCUACAAGGAUUUAUCCANNNNNNNNNNNNNNNNNNNNNNNNNNNNNNNNNNNNNNNNNNNNNNNNNNNNNNNNNNNNNNNNNNNNNNNNNNNNNNNNNNNNNNNNNNNNNNNNNNNNNNNNNNNNNNNNNNNNNNNNNNNNNNNNNNNNNNNNNNNNNNNNNNNNNNNNNNNNNNNNNNNNNNNNNNNNNNNNNNNNNNNNNNNNNNNNNNNNNNNNNNNNNNNNNNNNNNNNNNNNNNNNNNNNNNNNNNNNNNNNNNNNNNNNNNNNNNNNNNNNNNNNNNNNNNNNNNNNNNNNNNNNNNNNNNNNNNNNNNNNNNNNNNNNNNNNNNNNNNNNNNNNNNNNNNNNNNNNNNNNNNNNNNNNNNNNNNNNNNNNNNNNNNNNNNNNNNNNNNNNNNNNNNNNNNNNNNNNNNNNNNNNNNNNNNNNNNNNNNNNNNNNCAUAAAUUCGUGGCAAAAUAAUUAUAAUAUUUUGAAUAUACCAUAAUUAAUAGAAAAUAUUUCUAACAAAACUUCUAUUAUAUAAUAAUAAUAUUUUAAUGUUUUUAAAAAAAUUUACUAUCUCUGUUUAAAAUAUUAAUAAAUUAUAAAAGUCUAUAAUAAAGUGAUAUAAAUAUCUCAUGACUUAAAGAAUUUUACAAAUAUCGAAAAUAUUUUAGAAGGGUACUAAAUUAUAUUUUUACCAAAUGCCAAAUUAAAUUAAAUAAUCCACGAUAUAUAUUUAGAUAGUACUAAAAUUAUAUGAAAAUACAGUAAAAUGACCGUAAGGGUCAUUACAACAUCCACUACUAAAAGGACUUUCGCGAAAGUAAAAGAUAAGGAAAUACUUGAAGUCUCAAACAAGUAGGGAUACUGGGCGCACAUAUCACACUCGAUUUCCCAAGUAGCCUCCUCAACUGGACGGUGACGCCACUGAACCUUAACUACCGGAAUGUCCCUGGAACACAACUGCCUGAUGUCCCUUGCCAAAAUAGAUGCGGGCUUCUCUACAAAUGUCAAUUCCUCAUCCAACUGAACCGAGUCCCACUGAAGUACGUGUGACUCAUCUGGAAUAUACUGUCGUUACAUAGAUACAUAAAACACCGGAUGAAUGGCUAAGAAGGCAGGUGGCAAUGCCAAUACAUAAGCUACCUCCCCAACUCUCUGUAAGAUCUCAAAAGGUCCAAUAUAUCUAGGGCUAAGCUUGCCCCUCCUCCCGAACCUCAUCACGCCCUUCAUGGGUAAUACUCACAAAAAGACCCUAUCACCAACUCUGAAACUCAAUGGACGACGUCUGCGAUCAGCAUAACUCCUCUAUCUGCUCUAAGAUGCUUGUAGCCUAUCCUGAAUCACUAGAACCAGGCCUAACAAAUCACGAAGCAAAUCUGUGCCACGAGUCCUAGCCUCAGAAGUCUCAAACCAACCAAUAGGAUAUCGACAUCGCCUACCAUACAAUGCCUCAAAUGGGGCCAUCUGUAUACUCGAGUGAAAGCUGUUAUUAUAUACAAACUCUGCCAAAGGUAGAAAUGGUCCCACUGACCUCUAAAAUCCAACAUACAAGCGUGUAGCAUAUCUUCUAAGACCUGGAUAGUCCGCUUUGACUGCCCAUCAGUUUGGAGAUGAAAGGCUGUGCUAAGGUCAACCUGGGUUCCCAACUCCUCUUGAAAUGUCCUCCAAAAGCUAAAAGUGAAUUGAGAGCCUCGAUCAGAGAUAAUGGACACAGGGACCCAUGUAGUCGAACCACCUCUUGGAUAUAAAUAUGAGCUAACCUCUCGGUACUAUAGGAAACUCGAACAAGGAUAAAAUAUGCAGACUUGGUCAAUCGAUCCACAAUAAGCCAAAUGCUAUCAAAACCACGCAAAGUACGUGGUAAUCCAGGUACGAAAUCCAUAGUAACUCCCUCCCAUUUCCACUCGAGAAUGGGUAGCUGCUGAAGCAAUCCACCAGGUCUUUGAUGCUCGGCCUUUACUUGCUGACAACAAAGACAUCGCACCACAAACCCUGCUAUAUCUUUCCACAUACCACUCCACCAGUAAUGUUGCCUCAAAUCUCUAUACAUCUUAGCUAUCCCAGGGUGAAUAGAGUAUUUAGAGUUUUGAGCCUCAUAAAGAAUCAACUAGAUCAAAUACCCAACCCUUGGAACACAAAUACGACCGUCAAACCUCAAGACACCCUCAGAAUCUAGGGUAGCCCUCUGAGACUCACCUCUCAACACCUGCUUUCGAAUGCUACGAAGCCUGCCAUCUUCGAACUGACAACUUUGAAUCUUCUCCAACAAGGUAAAUCUAGCCUCAACACUAGCAAUGAUUCCCCGAGGGUCAGAAAUAUCCAAAUGAACCAUCAUGUUAGCUAAGGAUUGAAUGUCCAAAGCCAGCGGCCGCUAAGAAGCUGCAAUGAAUGCUAAACUACCCAUAAUGACUUCCGAAUUAAGGCAUUUGCUACCACAUUCGCCUUGCCUGGAUGAUAGAGAAUAGAGAUAUCAUAGUCUUUUAGCAAAUCAAUCCACCUGUGCUGCCUCAAAUUAAGCUCCUUCUGGGUCAUAAUGUACUGCAGACUACGAUGAUCAGUAAAUAUCUCACAACAAAAACCAUAUAAGUAAUGCCUCCAAAUCCUAAGCGUAAAUACUACCACUGCCAACUCUAAGUCAUGAGUGGGAUAGUUUCGCUCAUGCACCUUCAACUGUCUCGAUGCAUAUGCAAUUACACGGCCACGCUGCAUCAGAAUACACCCCAAAUCAACACCAGAAGCAUCACAAUAGAAAGUAAAAUCCUUUCCCUCAACAAGAAGAGUCAGAAUAGGAGCUUAAGUAAGCAAUUCUUUAAGCUUUAUAAAGCUUACCUCACAACUUGCAAACCACUGAAACGGAACUUCCUUCCUGGUCAAUCUAGUCAUAGGGGCUGCAAUAGAAGAAAAACCCUCAAUAAACCGCCUGUGGUAACCCGCCAACCCAAUAAAACUACAAACUUUAGAAGGUAACGUAGGCCCAGCACAACUACGAAUAGCCUCAAUCUUUGUUGGGUCCACCAUAAUAUCGUCCUUGGACACUACGUGCCCCAAGAAAGCUACACACUCAAGCCAAAACUCACAUUUUGAGAACUUGGCAUAAAGCCUGUGGCCUCUCAAAGUGUGGAGCACAGUCCUCAAAUUUUACUCGUGCUCCUCCUUACUCCUCGAUUAUACAAGAAUGUCAUCAAUAAAUACUAUCACAAAGGAGUCCAAAUAUGGCCUGAACACAUGAUUCAUCAGAUCCAUAAAAGCUGCUGGAGCAUUACUCAACCCAAAAGACAUCACCAAGAACUUAUAAUGACCAUAACGAGUCUUGAAAGCUGUCUUAGGGAUGUUCGCAGCCCUAACUCUCAAUUGAUGGUAACCAGACCUCAAAUCAAUCUUAGAAAACACCAUCGUGCCCUGAAGCUGAUCAAACAAAUCAUCAAUAUGAGGCAUAGGAUACUUAUUUUUCAUCGUUACCUUAUUCAACUGCCUGUAAUCGAUACACAUACGUAAGGAUCCAUCCUUUCUCUUUACAAACAGAACUGAAGAACCCCAAGGAGAUACACUCAGUCUGAUAAAACCCUUACCCAGAAGAUCCUGAAGCUGACUAUUUAGCUCCUUCAACUCAUCAGGAGCCAUACGAUAUGGAGUAAUAUAAAUAGGUCAGGUGCCUGGCUUGAGGUCAAUAAUAAACUCUACAUCACGCUCGAGAGGAAGGCCAGGUAGGUCGGUUGGAAAUACAUCAAGAAACUCACGAACAACAAGGACGGAGUCAAGUGGGGGACUCUUAGCACUAACAUCCCAAAUAUAUGCAAGAAAUGACUCGCAACCCCUUGAUAUCAGUCUUCUAGCCCAAAUGUACGAAAUAAUCCCCAUCGGCGCGCGACUAACAUAACCCUGCCACACAACUAGGGGUAUGCUAGGCAAAGCUAAAGUAAUGGUCUUAGCAAAAUAAUCCAAGACCGCAUGGUAAGGGGAAAACCAAUUCAAGCUUAGAAUCACAUCAAAAUCUACCAUAUCUAGGACAAUGAGGUCAAUAUGAGUAUCAAACUCUUGAAUAGCCACCAAACAAGAUUUAUAUACCCAAUUCACUACUAAAGAAUCACCCACUGGGGUAGCCAUACGUAAUGGCAGAGAUAAAGACUCCGAACAUAAACCCAGUCGUGAUGCAAAAUAAACAGAAACAUAUGAAAAUAUAGAACCGAGAUCAAAUAAAAUAGAAGUUGGCUGAUGGCAUACGAAGAUCGUACUUGUGAUCACGACAUCUGAAGUAUCAACCUCUGGUCUACCUGGUACAGCAUACAAAUAACCCUGUCCAAUACUGGAUUGGGUACCUGCCCGACCGCCUGCCCUACUUUCCCACGGACCACCUCCAUGACCCUGUACACCACCCCUACCUAACGGCAACACUGAUCUGAUCGGAUACAUAGUCAAAUGGUUGUGUUAGCUUUCGAUGACAUCAUUCAAAGUCAGUACGUGGGGCAUCAAAAUUUGGUCACACUAAGGACACGGGAUCCUACAUGGAGGGGCUGAUUUGAGUACAACAAAGAGCAAUCCCACGUGUGGAAGAUUGCUUAGAGCAUUGAAGAUUGAGGACUCAUGAUUUUGGGCCUUCAUUAAGGGAAUUUUGGUCACUUAGCCUUGUUCAAGUAACACUCCAUGACCACCCUUUUUCAUUAAGGGUAUUGUGGUUAUUUUGUUAUGUAAUAAGUUAUACUAUAAAUAGGUUCUAUUAGUUCAUUUGCUAGUUAGUUUUGAAUGAUGAAAGAUUGAAACACUUGAAAAUCCUCUCUCUUGAGAGUAGACCACCUUAAUAUAGUCUUAGUCUUUUAGCAAAUCAAUCCACCUGUGCUGCCUCAAAUUAAGCUCCUUCUGGGUCAUAAUGUACUGCAGACUACGAUGAUCAGUAAAUAUCUCACAACAAAAACCAUAUAAGUAAUGCCUCCAAAUCCUAAGCGUAAAUACUACCACUGCCAACUCUAAGUCAUGAGUGGGAUAGUUUCGCUCAUGCACCUUCAACUGUCUCGAUGCAUAUGCAAUUACACGGCCACGCUGCAUCAGAAUACACCCCAAAUCAACACCAGAAGCAUCAUAAUAGAAAGUAAAAUCCUUUCCCUCAACAAGAAGAGUCAGAAUAGGAGCUUAAGUAAGCAAUUCUUUAAGCUUUAUAAAGCUUACCUCACAACUUGCAAACCACUGAAACGGAACUUCCUUCCUGGUCAAUCUAGUCAUAGGGGCUGCAAUAGAAGAAAAACCCUCAAUAAACCGCCUGUGGUAACCCGCCAACCCAAUAAAACUACAAACUUUAGAAGGUAACGUAGGCCCAGCACAACUACGAAUAGCCUCAAUCUUUGUUGGGUCCACCAUAAUAUCGUCCUUGGACACUACGUGCCCCAAGAAAGCUACACACUCAAGCCAAAACUCACAUUUUGAGAACUUGGCAUAAAGCCUGUGGCCUCUCAAAGUGUGGAGCACAGUCCUCAAAUUUUACUCGUGCUCCUCCUUACUCCUCGAUUAUACAAGAAUGUCAUCAAUAAAUACUAUCACAAAGGAGUCCAAAUAUGGCCUGAACACAUGAUUCAUCAGAUCCAUAAAAGCUGCUGGAGCAUUACUCAACCCAAAAGACAUCACCAAGAACUUAUAAUGACCAUAACGAGUCUUGAAAGCUGUCUUAGGGAUGUUCGCAGCCCUAACUCUCAAUUGAUGGUAACCAGACCUCAAAUCAAUCUUAGAAAACACCAUCGUGCCCUGAAGCUGAUCAAACAAAUCAUCAAUAUGAGGCAUAGGAUACUUAUUUUUCAUCGUUACCUUAUUCAACUGCCUGUAAUCGAUACACAUACGUAAGGAUCCAUCCUUUCUCUUUACAAACAGAACUGAAGAACCCCAAGGAGAUACACUCAGUCUGAUAAAACCCUUACCCAGAAGAUCCUGAAGCUGACUAUUUAGCUCCUUCAACUCAUCAGGAGCCAUACGAUAUGGAGUAAUAUAAAUAGGUCAGGUGCCUGGCUUGAGGUCAAUAAUAAACUCUACAUCACGCUCGAGAGGAAGGCCAGGUAGGUCGGUUGGAAAUACAUCAAGAAACUCACGAACAACAAGGACGGAGUCAAGUGGGGGACUCUUAGCACUAACAUCCCAAAUAUAUGCAAGAAAUGACUCGCAACCCCUUGAUAUCAGUCUUCUAGCCCAAAUGUACGAAAUAAUCCCCAUCGGCGCGCGACUAACAUAACCCUGCCACACAACUAGGGGUAUGCUAGGCAAAGCUAAAGUAAUGGUCUUAGCAAAAUAAUCCAAGACCGCAUGGUAAGGGGAAAACCAAUUCAAGCUUAGAAUCACAUCAAAAUCUACCAUAUCUAGGACAAUGAGGUCAAUAUGAGUAUCAAACUCUUGAAUAGCCACCAAACAAGAUUUAUAUACCCAAUUCACUACUAAAGAAUCACCCACUGGGGUAGCCAUACGUAAUGGCAGAGAUAAAGACUCCGAACAUAAACCCAGUCGUGAUGCAAAAUAAACAGAAACAUAUGAAAAUAUAGAACCGAGAUCAAAUAAAAUAGAAGUUGGCUGAUGGCAUACGAAGAUCGUACUUGUGAUCACGACAUCUGAAGUAUCAACCUCUGGUCUACCUGGUACAGCAUACAAAUAACCCUGUCCAAUACUGGAUUGGGUACCUGCCCGACCGCCUGCCCUACUUUCCCACGGACCACCUCCAUGACCCUGUACACCACCCCUACCUAACGGCAACACUGAUCUGAUCGGAUACAUAGUCAAAUGGUUGUGUUAGCUUUCGAUGACAUCAUUCAAAGUCAGUACGUGGGGCAUCAAAAUUUGGUCACACUAAGGACACGGGAUCCUACAUGGAGGGGCUGAUUUGAGUACAACAAAGAGCAAUCCCACGUGUGGAAGAUUGCUUAGAGCAUUGAAGAUUGAGGACUCAUGAUUUUGGGCCUUCAUUAAGGGAAUUUUGGUCACUUAGCCUUGUUCAAGUAACACUCCAUGACCACCCUUUUUCAUUAAGGGUAUUGUGGUUAUUUUGUUAUGUAAUAAGUUAUACUAUAAAUAGGUUCUAUUAGUUCAUUUGCUAGGGAGUUUAUGAAAGAGGAAAUAUUGAAACACUUAAAAUCCUCUCUUUUGAGAGUAGACCAUCUUAGUGUAGUUUUAGUAUAGGGCUUGGAAAAGCUAAUAUUGUUCUUUCUUGGAAAUGGUGGAUCUUGAGGCGAGUUAAUUCCCUUGGAGGUCACCGUAAGAGUGUGGUUUUGAUUAUUACAUUCAUUAGGAGUUUUUGAGUUUAAUACACUCUUUAGUUCUUAAUCUUGUAAUAAUCUUGGUCUCACUAUCUAUCCUUUACUUUUGUUGUUGUUAUCUUGUGUAGUGGACUGUUUUGGGUCAUUUAUUGAAUCCGAAACUUGUGUUAUUGUUGUUCAUAUUUUUCAUCACAUUUUAUAUCUGUUUUGGUGUUGAAAUAUACCAUUGUAUCUUGUAUUCUUGUUGUUGGUAGUUAUUCCGAGUGUGCUCUCUAUCUUGAUCCUCGAAUCCUUAAGAUUAAUAGACUGAUUUGGAGUAUGUUUUGAUACUUCCAUUGUUGUUCUUGUAUUAUUUGGUAUCAAAGUAUGGCUUGAUCUUGUUCCUACAAUAUCAAAUCUUGGGUUAGCUCACUUGAAAAAUAAAAAAAAAAUUAAAAAUCUGAAAAUUCCAGAAAAAGAACAAUCUGUCCAAUUUGUGUUCUUGGCCAAAAAUUGUGUUUUUUUGGUCUCUUGGCUGAGAUUUUUACUUGUCAUUGUUAUUUAUAGUGUUAGUUUUAUCAUUCACUAACACUUUUAGUCUAAAUCUAAGUUUGAGCUUACAUUGUUGAUGUUGUUGUGAACUUGAAAACUUGAAAGUGUUUUGGACAUUUUUGGUUGUGAUGGACUGUUUUGGCCUUGUGUUCUUCAUCUUGUUGUUGUUCUAAGCUUGUCCAUGUGAUAUUUUUGUUCUUUGGUACCCUAAGAACCUUUUUUGAUGAAGUUGUUGUUGAUUGAUGGAACUUGAGAAAGUGUUGAUUGAAGUGUGAGACCAACUUGAACCUUAAACUCCAAGAUUCAAAAGUUUGUGUUCUUGGUGUUCUUCACCAGUCUUCAUCUUUUAUUGAAAUAAAAGUAGAUGUUAGAUCUAAAAAGUUUGGAUUAAAAAGGAGUAAAAUUUUUUAGUAUUGAAAAAAAAACUCCUCAACCACCAAAGACCUUAACAACCACUUACCAAACAACUUCAACCACCAAAGAAGUUAUUCACGUUUUUGUACUUUGGACAAAUUUUAAGGCUUAUAUCUAAGAAGUUUUUGUGUUCUUUGUUUAUUUCUAGUGUUAGGUUCUUGUUCCCUAACACUAAGUGAAUCUAAAUCUUUGAUUUGAGCUUAAUCCGGGUAGUUUUGAGAUAUUCUCCAUUGUUGAGUUAAAGGUUAAAAAAAAAACUAGAAAGGUGAAUCUCAAAAUUUUGGGUUGUUGUUGAGAAUUGGUGGAUUGAAAAUGUGUUGCUGUUGUUGUGGAAUUCAUGUGUUCUUGAAGAAAUAAAAAAUCAUUCAAUUUGGAGGCUAUUUGCUUAAGGUGCACUUUUGAGUGUUCUUGAUGUUCUUCAUGUUCUUCAUUUAUUGUUGAGCAAAGAACAUUCAAAAGAGAUGGUUUGAUCUAAAGAAUUGGAAAAAUAAGGUGUUGUAUUUUUUUGUCUUGAAAUAUAUUCCAAGACAUACGAUAAAAAGAAAAGAAGAUAAGAAAACAUUAAAAAAAGUCUUGUUACCCAAAAGAAGGGACAAAGACUUUCAAAAAGCCUAUGUCAAGGGAAAGGUGCAAGGAAAAGUUAAGGGUGGGGACCAAUAGAAAUUCAAACCUUUUGGAAUAUUGAAAAGGAAUCCAAGCCUUAAUUCCCUCCCAAAUCUGAUUUUUCACCAUUCCAAAUUGAAAAAUUGACCAAAACUUGAAAUUGGACAACAAAAUUAUGUGGGACCACGACCAAUUACAUGGCUACCACAUCAUCACAUUUUACUAUUCACGCAACAUUAUUAAGCUCAAAUUAUAGAUUCUUGGUUGCAUUUUAUUGUUUCAUUAGUUGCAUUACUUGAUUCUAGAAUUAAUUAACAACUAGUAAUCACCAACUUAGUUGUAGAUUAAUUGUUGAAUCUGUUUCUUUUGCGUCUUCGUUAUUUGUGUGCUUUUCUUGUUUUUAACUCGUAGUAACUUCUUGUUUCAAGUUCAUAAGUAAAUUUUAUUUUUGUCUUGAGUCGAUCAAACAAGAAUCCAUUCCGGUCACCAAGUAGAAUUGACAUCCUAUUGACUAUCGGAGUAUAAGCAACUUUCAAUAUUCAUCGCUCCAAUUGUAAGACUCACAAAGGUUGUAUAUGAGGGUUGAUGAAAAUCUUUUACUACUAAUAUUGUUUGUUUAUUGUGUAGGUACAAAGGUGAUAUACGGGGAACAUGUCUUCGAUAGCCGGGGAUUAUUAUGACUACAAUAUGGGAGACUAUGAUUGUAGUGAGGAUUUUUAUGGCUACGAAGUUGAGGGAGAUUGCCGAGGCUAUGAAACAGCCAUGAUCAAAAUUUGGGCAGAUUUGAAAGUUACUGUUUUGAGGGAGAAAAUGAGGUGAAUAAAGUGCCUAGUGCUUAUGGUUACUUUGGAGAUGAUAUAGGACCUUGUGAUGGAUCAUAUGAUAAUGUUGGGGCAUGUGAGGAGUCUUACACUUCUUACUCCGAACCUAGAUUUGGUGUUAGGUAUAACCCUUUCAUUCAUAAAGUUUAUGAGAUGUAUGAUGAGAGUACACUUGAGGAGUGUUAAUAUUCAUAUUCUCCACCUUGUAGUACUUCUUAUCAAGGUCGAUAUAGUGUGAAUGGUUAUAAUAGCUAUAGUGGAGGUUGUCCAAUGAAAAGAAAAGGGUAUGCAUCUCCAAAACCGAGGGGUACUCGUAUGCUUAACAAUGUUGAUCCAAGAAGGAGUGUACACUCUAGAAAGGUCACCAUUUGUGGGAUACCGGGCUGCCUUGUUGUGUUAAAUGAUAGGUACUAUAGAAACUACAUCAUUCCAUCCAUGAUUGACUACUUGGGGUUAUUUUGCGAGCCUUUACUUGUUCCAUACUUCUUGGACGGGUUUAAGGUUACCGAGAUGGUAAAAGUUAUCUUCUCCCAAUAUGAAUACCAUGAGAAGGUGUGGUACAAUAUUCUUCCAUUGGCCUACGGUCAUGUAUACUUAGGUGCCGAUUGGUUUGCACAACAUCAAUUUCCUAACGUGCAAAAUUGGCCUAAUAUUAUAAGAGACCAAUGGGGGAAUCGCCUCAUGACUUACUUGCUGCCCAAGCCAUGAAGAGAAAUAUCUACCUACUCCAAUCUUAAUUAUUAUGAGAGACAAAAGAUUGAGAGGAGUAAAGGAGUGCAAGGUGGUAAUCCGAGAGUGGAAAAAAGAGAGAUUAUGUGGAGCGAAGUGAGGGGAUUACCACCCAACCGUGCUAACAUUGGUUGUCCUUCUAUUUCAAAGGACAUUUGUGUAGGUACCAACAUGGCAAGAGAAGGCGAACAAUGCCAAAAGAAAGUUGCUGCCCAAGCUUGUGGAGGACCUUCACACCAUGACAAAGAAGAAUCUACUCAAGAACUUCAAGGUAAAAUAGCUAACGCUUACACUUUUGUGCAUGUGAAUGAUAAUUGUGUGGCUAGUAGCCCAUUAAGUGUGAGUUGUAGCUUGCUUAUAUGUGAGUCUAUUAUUUUUUUGCCACUUAAUGAUGAUGUGAAUGUUGUGAGUAUGGAUACACUAGUUGAUCCUAUUGAUGACCGAAUCAACUAUUCUUGUAAGAUCGAUUUAUGUCCGCCUAGUGUUGACACUAUUGUGUUGAAUGAAAGUAUAUUAUCUUCUGAAAUUUGUAUUGAUCAACUUAUGUGUGAAAAUUACCCACCACUUGAGGAUGUGUAUGAUGUGAUUAAUGAACCUCAAGUGUGUGAUGAUGUUGAAAAUGAUGAUCAAAGGGAUAGGAGUGAACUCGAGAGCUAUUCUUGGGAUAAUCUUGCACUUGAAAUCUCUUUAAAACUUGAUAUUAAUCUUUUAGAGAGUGAUGAACGUAUUUGUUUCGAAUCUGCCCGUGAAAUAGAUUAUGCUCUCUUUAGGUAUAAUGUCUUGUUUGAAGAUGAUAUAACCACUCCUAAUGAACCUAGUGGUGAAAAUGAUGGUAUAGCUUAAAUAAGAAGCUAUAGCCAAUAUGCUAACCCACUAUAGUGUGACAACAUUCUCCUAAAGAUGGAAAUCUCUUCUUCGGAGAUGAAAGUAUUCUUAAGGGUAAGGGAUGUGUGGUCGUGGAAACUACUUCUCCUUCUACUUUGUGUGACUUUAUUGUUGAGAGUAGUCAUGGUCAUAAUUGUGAAACUAGUAGUGAAUACACACAUGAGUAUAUCUUAGUAGAAGUCGACUUGAGUAAUACCUUUUUCUACUCUCUAUUUGCUUUGGAUAAUAUGUAUGCUAUUGUAGAAAGUAUGUCAUUUAGUUUGGGUAGAGACCAUAGGAAAGCAGAGUGUUGUCCAGACCCGUGUCUAUGGCCACUCUCCCCGUUUGACCCCGGUGACAGAUAUAGAUUUGAUGACGAUGGUGCACCCAACUUGUUGCUUGGUUUACAUGACAAGAAAAGUAUCAUUGUUGGUGAAUUCCAUAGCCAAAUCCUUUAUUCAUUUUUCAUUAAUUAUUUAAUAUUUAGUUCAAAGGAUCCUUGGUUAUAUUCUAAAUAUGUGGAACCUUGGCAUAUUGAGGUGAUUUAUCGUGCUAACCCUAACCCUCAUGCCAUGAGGAGUAUGUAUUUGUGUGUUAUUUCCUUGGUAAGGUUUGGAUUCGAGGUCUAAUCCUUUUCAAGAAGGGGGGGAUGAUACGAGUCAAAUGGCUGCCUUAGCUUUUGAUGACAUCAUUCAAGUCAGUACAUGGGGCGUCAAGCUUUGGUCGCACUGAGGACAUGGGAUCCUACAUGGAGGGCCGAUUUGAGUACAUCAUAGAGCAAUCCCACGUGUGGAAGAUUGCUUGGAGCAUUGAAGAUUGAGGACUUACGAUUUUGGCCCUUCAUUAAGGGCAUUUUGGUCACUUAGCCUUGUUCAAGUAACACUCCAUGACCACCCCUUCUCAUUAAGGGUGUUGUGGUUAUUUUGUUAUGUAAUAAGUUAGACUAUAAAUAGGUUCUAUUAGUUCAUUUGCUAGGGAGUUUGUGAAAGAGGAAAUAUUGAAACACUUAAAAUCCUCUCUCUUGAGAGUAGACCAUCUUAGUGUAGUUUUAGUAUAGGGCUUGGAAAAGCUAAUAUUGUUCUUUGCUUGGAAACGGUGGAUCUUGAGGUGAGUUGAUUCUCUUGGCUGUCACCGUAAGAGUGUGGUUUUGGUUAUUACAUUCAUUAGGGGUUUUUGAGUUUAAUACACUCUUUAGUUCUUAAUCUUGUAAUAAUAUUGAUCUCACUAUCUAUCUUUUACUUUUGUUGUUGUUAUGGACUGUUUUAGGUCAUUUAUUGAAUCCGAAACUUGUGUUAUUGUUGUUCAUAUUGUUCAUCACGUUUUAUAGCUAUUUUGGUGUUAAAAUACACCCUUGUAUCUUGUAUUCUUGUUGUUGGUAGCGAAUCUGAGUAUGGUUUCCAUCUUGGUCCUCGAAUCCUUAAGAUUAGCGGACUGAUUUGGAGUAUGUUUUGAUACUUCCAUUGUUGUUCUUGUAUCAUUGAACUAGACGACUAGGCUGACCCGAAUGCUGAGAAGACUGCUGAUGAGGGUACCUACCAUGAAAUUCUCGGCCUGAGAACUGUGGAUCGCUGUAGCUACCCUGGUAGCGUAGUUUCUUAUCGUUGUCUCUUUGGGCCUCAUGAUCCAUCUCCUCUAUGGAAUAAAUAUACACGGCUACCUCCGAAAAAGAAUUUCCUGAAGUCACCAAACUCUGUGUAGCUCUACGGAGUGACAAUCUCAAUCCCCUGACAAAGCAUCGAAUUCGCUCGUAUCCGUAUCUAGAAUCAUAGUAGCGUGUCUGGCUAACUCGGGCAAUCUCGCCUCACAUUCAGCCAUAGUCAUAGAACCCUGUCUCAAUGCUGUAAACUCAUCCCGGAGAUGCCCAUGCAUGCGACGAGGCAUAUACUUCCCCAAGAAAGCCUCGGAGAACUGAGUCCAAGUCAUUGGUAGAGAUCCAUCUGGCCUGGAAUCAAGAUAACCUCUCCACCACCUUCUCGCUGCCGUGUCGAAUUGAUAAGAAACAAAGUCCACUCCCUGUGCCUCAACUAAACCCAAAUUCCGCAACUGCUACUCACAACUAGAUAGGAACUCCAUAGCAUCCUCUCCCGGUAUCCCAGCGAAUCUGGAUGGAGCUAAUUUCAAAAAUCUGUCCAACAUCUUUCGCUCCUCUGAAGACAUAACGGGCUGGACUACUGCCGUCUAUGGGACUACUGGUGCUGGAGGAAUCUCUACCCUAGGCGCCGCUACUGCAGGUUGUGCCCCUAAGUCAACACCACCCUGUACUGCUCUACCCUGCCCCUGAUAUCUGGGUCGACUUCGACCCCAAACUAGAACUCUAGAAGCGUGCCCCGACUGCUCGCUCUUGGACCUCGUAUCCUAGCCAUCUGGGUAGAGAGUGAACCAAUGAAAGAAGAUUACAACCAACCCAAACUCAACGCACAAAAAAAUGGAUCAAGAAAAUGAGAUUUUUUUCCCUAAAAAUGCUCGGUAGCCUCCCAAGGAUAGGAUACAGAUGUCUCCAUACCUAUCCGUAAGACUCUACUAAACAUCGGCUCCAGUACUAAUAAUACCAGUAAGACCUAGGGUUUGAUACCAAACUGUCAUGACCCAAUUUCUCUAGCCGUGAUGGCGCCUACUUUAACCCACCAGUAGGUAAGCCAAGCCAUAGUCCGGAAUGAUAAGUAACGGGCUAACAGGCAGAGACCAAAUAAAGGAUCAUGUAUAAUAAUAAUAAGUAGAAACUAAGAAAGGAGCAUAUAUAUUAUAUCAAAAUAAGAUGAGGAAAAAAAACAACUUACAAUGAAUCUCUCCCAAGACCUGAUAAGGUAUUACUGAAUAUAAUAAGUUAAACUUAAAUUAAAGUAAAAAGAAAAAGUUUUAUAAGGUAACUGUUCGCUUUAAAAUCGAAAAUGGAUUCGAUACAAUUCAACAGAAUCUAAGAAAUGAUCAAAUUCUAAAAUCAUUUCUAUUUUGAUUCUAUAAAAAUUCAAUUUUCAUUUUUGAAUGAAGUUAGACGUCAGUACUAGAGUCACUACUAACAGAUACCCAAAGUACUAGACAAAAAUAAAAUAAAAUGUACACAAUAUACACAAGCAGUCUCGAGUGCAAAAGACUAACUGGAAUAAAUAGAGAAAGAUUAGCCUCGGACGACAACAAGCUCACUCUGGUCUGAGUCAGUAAUGGAAGAUAGGAAUCACGUCAACAUCGACUGUUAGUGCCCGGAUCUGCAUCAGAAAAAGAUGCAGAAGUGUAGAUGAGUACCAAAAACUACAGGUACUCAGUAGGCAUCAUCGGCCGACUGAGUUCAAUACAGAAAAGGUAUAACUACAAUGCGAGGGCGUAAUCUGAGUCAUUAGUAAAAAGGGAUCAAAAGGUAAAGAACUACCAAGCUACGUAACGACUGUACAGGAAUAAACUGAUGCGAUACCGAAAAAUAAUAAUGCAGUAAUAAUAGACAAAUCAAACAUAGCCUAACUGGGCCCCCAUAAGCCCACUAGGCAAACAACAUAACCUAACUGGGCCCCCAUAAGCCUGCUAGGCAUACGGAAGAAGGUAAUUGACCCAUUCAAACCCCCGUAAGCCGGUGGGACACAGAAGUAAUGAAAAUAAACAUAAAUAGUCUAUAACUGCGCUGAUCCCCAUAAAUCAUAAUAGUUUUUCAGAUGUGCACCGGACUUGAAUGACACCAAUGGGUAAUAACGAAAGGCCAGAUAUAUAGAACUCAUAACCAGAUAAUAAUCAUUUGCCGGACUCGAACCGGAACUCAUAGUAACCACAACCAUAAUCAGAUGCCGAACUUGAACCGAAACUCAUAGUAACCAUAAUAAUCAUUUGUCGGACUUGACCCGUAACUCACAGUAACCAUAAUGAUCAUUUGUCGGACUCGAACCGGUCAUAGUAACCAUAAUAAUCAUUUGUCGAGCUCGAACCGGAACUCACAGUAACCAUACCCACCAAAAAUAUUAAAAUUCAUACCAUAUCAUAACAAUGGCAAUGUCUAAAGAAUCAUCCGUUAAUCUUAAUUAAAAAGGGAUAAAUUCAAGGUUUUGCAAUUUAAUUUUACAUCCCAAAGUGAUAGAUGUUUUAUUAUAUUAAAAGAUACUUUUUCCAAAAAUUUACUAAAACGGGGUCCUAAUACAGAUAAAUAAGACAGUUUAUAUAUAUAUAUAUCAAAAAUACGCAUCUACAAGGAUUUAUCCAGGCUAACAUAAUAGUUAACAUUUUCAAUAUAUAAGCUCAAUCUAAAAAUAGGGGUAAACCUAGCCUACCUUGGCGCCAAAGCUAUAAUAUCUGUUCGCGAAACCUUCAAAUAGUACUAGCAGAAUCCGAGCUUGGAUAAUAUCAAAGAAACUAUUUUUCAGACACCUCCUAACUUAUAAGUAAUUUGUAAGACUCACUAAGAACCCCAACCAAUUUAAAAGAAGCAAACGAAGGUUCAGAUAUGGAAAAACAAAAAGCAACAUAUGUAUUAUGUACUAACAGUGGAUGGUCACUUUUCUUUUCCUUUAAAAAGGACCAC
rnacentral:lncRNA from 1 species